AUUGAACGCUGGCGGCAGGCCUAACACAUGCAAGUCGAGCGAGCGGCGGACGGGUGAGUAAUGUCUGGGAAACUGCCUGAUGGAGGGGGAUAACUACUGGAAACGGUAGCUAAUACCGCAUACCAUCAGAUGUGCCCAGAUGGGAUUAGCGAGUGGGUGGGGUAAUGGCUCACCUAGGCGACGAUCCCUAGCUGGUUUGAGAGGCUGACCGGCCACACUGGGACUGAGACACGGUCCAGACUCCUACGGGAGGCAGCAGUGGGGAAGAUUGCACAAUGGGCGCAAGCCUGAUGCAGCCAUGCCGCGUGUAUGAAGAAGGCCUUCGGGUUGUAAAGUACUUUCAGUGGGGAGGCGUUACCCGCAGAAGAAGCACCGGCUAACUCCGUGCCAGCAGCCGCGGUAAUUC
rnacentral:rRNA from 1 species